rnacentral:rRNA from 1 species
UCAUGGGCGCUGCCUGACCAGCCAGUAGCGUGAAGGAUGAAGGCUCUAUGUCCNAUUAAACUUNGNAUAUAUAAGAAUAAAGUGCAGUAUGUAUACUNNCUUUGUAUGUAUUAUAUGAAUAAGGAUCGGCUAACUCCGUGCCAGCAGCCGCGGUAAUACGGAGGAUCCGAGCGUUAUCCGGAUUUAUUGGGUUUAAAGGGAGCGUAGGUGGACUGGUAAGUCAGUUGUGAAAGUUUGCGGCUCAACCGUAAAAUUGCAGUUGAUACUGUCAGUCUUGAGUACAGUAGAGGUGGGCGGAAUUCGUGGUGUAGCGGUGAAAUGCUUAGAUAUCACGAAGAACUCCGAUUGCGAAGGCAGCUCACUGGACUGCAACUGACACUGAUGCUCGAAAGUGUGGGUAUCAAACAGGAUUAGAUACCCUGGUAGUCCAAGGGCGAAUUC